rnacentral:rRNA from 1 species
CGACUUAUAUUCUGUAGCAAGGUUAACCGUAUAGGGGAGCCGCAGGGAAACCGAGUCUUAACUGGGCGUUAAGUUGCAGGGUAUAGACCCGAAACCCGGUGAUCUAGCCAUGGGCAGGUUGAAGGUUGGGUAACACUAACUGGAGGACCGAACCGACUAAUGUUGAAAAAUUAGCGGAUGACUUGUGGCUGGGGGUGAAAGGCCAAUCAAACCGGGAGAUAGCUGGUUCUCCCCGAAAGCUAUUUAGGUAGCGCCUCGUGAAUUCAUCUUCGGGGGUAGAGCACUGUUUCGGCUAGGGGGUCAUCCCGACUUACCAACCCGAUGCAAACUACGAAUACCGAAGAAUGUUAUCACGGGAGACACACGGCGGGUGCUAACGUCCGUCGUGAAGAGGGAAACAACCCAGACCGCCAGCUAAGGUCCCAAAGUCAUGGUUAAGUGGGAAACGAUGUGGGAAGGCACAGACAGCCAGGAUNGGCUCACCUAGGCGACGAUCCCUAGCUGGUCUGAGAGGAUGACCAGCCACACUGGAACUGAGACACGGUCCAGACUCCUACGGGAGGCAGCAGUGGGGAAUAUUGCACAAUGGGCGCAAGCCUGAUGCAGCCAUGCCGCGUGUGUGAAGAAGGCCUUCGGGUUGUAAAGCACUUUCAGCGGGGAGGAAGGCGAUAAGGUUAAUAACCUCAGCGAUUGACGUUACCCGCAGAAGAAGCACCGGCUAACUCCGUGCCAGCAGCCGCGGUAAUACGGAGGGUGCAAGCGUUAAUCGGAAUUACUGGGCGUAAAGCGCACGCAGGCGGUCUGUCAAGUCGGAUGUGAAAUCCCCGGGCUCAACCUGGGAACUGCAUUCGAAACUGGCAGGCUAGAGUCUUGUAGAGGGGGGUAGAAUUCCAGGUGUAGCGGUGAAAUGCGUAGAGAUCUGGAGGAAUACCGGUGGCGAAGGCGGCCCCCUGGACAAAGACUGACGCUCAGGUGCGAAAGCGUGGGGAGCAAACAGGAUUAGAUACCCUGGUAGUCCACGCCGUAAACGAUGUCGAUUUGGAGGUUGUGCCCUUGAGGCGUGGCUUCCGGAGCUAACGCGUUAAAUCGACCGCCUGGGGAGUACGGCCGCAAGGUUAAAACUCAAAUGAAUUGACGGGGGCCCGCACAAGCGGUGGAGCAUGUGGUUUAAUUCGAUGCAACGCGAAGAACCUUACCUGGUCUUGACAUCCACAGAACUUUCCAGAGAUGGAUUGGUGCCUUCGGGAACUGUGAGACAGGUGCUGCAUGGCUGUCGUCAGCUCGUGUUGUGAAAUGUUGGGUUAAGUCCCGCAACGAGCGCAACCCUUAUCCUUUGUUGCCAGCGGUCAGGCCGGGAACUCAAAGGAGACUGCCAGUGAUAAACUGGAGGAAGGUGGGGAUGACGUCAAGUCAUCAUGGCCCUUACGACCAGGGCUACACACGUGCUACAAUGGCAUAUACAAAGAGAAGCGACCUCGCGAGAGCAAGCGGACCUCAUAAAGUAUGUCGUAGUCCGGAUUGGAGUCUGCAACUCGACUCCAUGAAGUCGGAAUCGCUAGUAAUCGUAGAUCAGAAUGCUACGGUGAAUACGUUCCCGGGCCUUGUACACACCGCCCGUCACACCAUGGGAGUGGGUUGCAAAAGAAGUAGGUAGCUUAACCUUCGGGAGGGCGCUUACCACUUUGUGAUUCAUGACUGGGGUGAAGUCGUAACAAGGUAACCGUAGGGGAACCUGCGGUUGGAUCACCU